rnacentral:rRNA from 1 species
UAUGACGUACUUGUACUGAUUGAGAUUUUAACACGAAGUGAGUGGCGAACGGGUGAGUAACACGUGGGUAACCUGCCCAGAAGUAGGGGAUAACACCUGGAAACAGAUGCUAAUACCGUAUAACAGAGAAAACCGCAUGGUUUUCUUUUAAAAGAUGGCUCUGCUAUCACUUCUGGAUGGACCCGCGGCGUAUUAGCUAGUUGGUGAGGUAAAGGCUCACCAAGGCAGUGAUACGUAGCCGACCUGAGAGGGUAAUCGGCCACAUUGGGACUGAGACACGGCCCAGACUCCUACGGGAGGCAGCAGUAGGGAAUCUUCCACAAUGGACGCAAGUCUGAUGGAGCAACGCCGCGUGAGUGAAGAAGGGUUUCGGCUCGUAAAGCUCUGUUGUUAAAGAAGAACGUGGGUAAGAGUAACUGUUUACCCAGUGACGGUAUUUAACCAGA